rnacentral:lncRNA from 1 species
GUCUACUACAUCCUCAGUGCUGCUCUUUUUGUGCUAGAAAUGCCAGAGACCAAGGUAUCUCUUCAGGAAUCUUUGGGAUAAUUCCACACAACUCUCAGUAUGUGAGAGCCAUAACUAUUGGGAAUGCAUUGGUUACUGUAAUCCCAUGCUCUAAAACUGAAUUUAAGAUCGAUUCCAUUCUUGAUGUGUUUUGAUUAUGUGUGUGUUUCAGGCGCAGCUAGAAAACGCCAAUGACUGUUGUGAAAGAAUAAAGAGAAUGAAUGAAACCUGUGUGAAUAUUACACACUGUGAUCCUGGUCUCCUUCAAGUUCAGGAGAACAGUACAACAUUUUGUGUGUCCUGCGAUUUAACAGAGCAGGGGAAUUCAACUUUACUUAACAAUAGUAAGUGCUGUGACAUGGUCAUAAAUGAACAUCUGUACAGUCUAGAACAGU